rnacentral:rRNA from 1 species
GACAGAGGGGGCGAGCGUUGUCCGGAUUGACUGGGCGUAAAGCGCACGUAGGCGGAUUGCUAAGUCAGGGGUGAAAUCCUGGAGCUCAACUCCAGAACUGCCUUUGAUACUGAGGAUCUUGAGUUCGGGAGAGGUGAGUGGAACUGCGAGUGUAGAGGUGAAAUUCGUAGAUAUUCGCAAGAACACCAGUGGCGAAGGCGGCUCACUGGCCCGAUACUGACGCUGAGGCACGAAAGCGUGGGGAGCAAACAGG